GCACGUAGUUAGCCGAGACUUAUUCCUGCGCUACCGUCCUUGCUCGUCACGCAGAAAAGAGCUUUACGACCCGAAGGCCUUCUUCACUCACGCGGCGUCGCUGCAUCAGGCUUGCGCCCAUUGUGCAAUAUUCCUCACUGCUGCCUCCCGUAGGAGUCUGGGCCGUGUCUCAGUCCCAGUGUGGGGGGUCACCCUCUCAGGUCCCCUACCCGUCGUCGCCAUGGUAAGCCGUUACCUCACCAUCUAGCUGAUGGGCCGCAGCCCCGUCCCCAAGCGAGUUACCCCUUUUCUCGCAGUCCUCUAUAGACCGUGAGCUUAUGCGGUAUUAGCAGCUCUUUCGAACCGUUAUCCCACUCUCGGGGGGAGGUAAGCUACGUGUUACUCACCCGUGCGCCACUCAAAUAUUGCUAUUUGCGUUCGACUUGCAUGUGUUAGGCACGCCGCCAACGUUCAUC
rnacentral:rRNA from 1 species